AUUUGGAGGGAGCAGUAAUCCUUCCCUUUUUUUUAUGUUUUUUCCCCCCUGUAACAGACUGAAUCAGUCCAGCAGGUCUGCAAAAAGUUGACAAGAGUCGGAGGAGGAGGGUGUGAAUCCCUUAAGGCUGCUAUUGUCAUUGAACUCUCCAUGGUGUGAAACCACAGCCUGAGGUGCUGAGCUUCUACCAAGAGCAACUGAGGCUGAGGAACCAAUUCCCUUCUGCCAACUCUUUUAUUGGAGCUCUUUCCAAACUGGACCUCAGACAUACUGGGAGAUAAAGGGAUGUAGAAGAGCUAAAGAUAAAUGUCCUGACUCCAGGAAGUGGCGCUCUUUGGAUGAAGUUGCCAAGGAAGGCAAUUCCAGCCAUCCUCCAGCAUCUAAAGGAGGAAAGGCUCCUCAGCCGGUGCAGUCGGAGGGCUUCGCUCCCGCUCCGGAGAGAGCAGCGUUAAGGGAGCAGCUCAUCGGCUCAAGACUGAUUUCACUUGCAAAAGCACUGCGGCUUCGCAAUCGCUGACACUUGUGCGGUGUAAACAGGCUGG
rnacentral:lncRNA from 1 species